UGGCUCACCUGCCUGGGAUACAAUGAGGCUGGUAAUGCUACAUCAUCUGGCAGUUUGACAGUCAAUGUGAUUCCAUCUGUGUCAGUGCCCCUGAAAAAUGUUAGUGUUGUGACUGGUCAGUACAUAACAUUCACCUGUGAAUUUGAUGGACAGCCUUCACCUUUCAUCUUCUGGUUGUUCAAUUCUAGUUUACCUGUACCAAGUAAUGCCAGGCUGGGACAGAAGAACAGUUCACUGACCAUUGGUCCAGUUAGUUGGGUAAAGAAUC
rnacentral:sRNA from 1 species